AGGGGUUAUUUCUGCCUAAUGGAAGACUUCUACCGGAGGAAGCCCAGCUGACUACGUUUAAAUAUAUGAGCUUCUCAAGAACCCAGAUGGAUAGGCCACAGAGGUGGGCAAAGAAGCAUCAACACCGGCGUGAAUCAGGAGAAAAACACGGAGGAGCCCAAGUGACACAAAGUGUUAAAGAAGAAUAUGCGUGUCCUCACUCAUCUAGGACUGCUAAACGCAGUUCUUAAAGGGUCCCUGGAUCUCUCAGUGCACAAGACUGCUUUAGCGGAGAGGCAGCUGUCAGCAGCCUUAAAGAAGCGCAUGGUUUCUAUUUUAGAACGAAACUCGGGCGGCUGGGAAGAUGCACGCCCGUGGUAAUAGAUGGACGCAAGGCAACCUCUCCCCAGGCUGUUACAUCCCUCUGAGCAAAAGCAACUGAGGAGCAGAAUGAAGACACUGACCCCGGAAAGGAGGGCGUGGGGUGGAGUGAUGCCCAGCUGGUAGGAUGGGUGCGCCCUGACCUUGGGGAGGAUGAGCGAGUAAAACAGUUGGAGGGGGGUUUCCUGGUUCCUAGUUGGGAAGCUUGCACUGUGAAGAGACAUGUAGGAUAGAACGUGAGAAAAUUCACUUGAUUUGGGAUGUGAUAUAAUUGAGGUGCCUGUAAGAACUAGAGAUAGAGUUGGCCAACUCAGCCAGAAGUUAGAGAUACAUUGUAUAGCAGUGUCUUUUUUUUCCUAGGAAUGUCUUAGAGGUCACUGUAAUUAUUAUUAAGUAUUGCUUAAUGAUAUAUGUAUAGAAAUGCAGGUUAUAGAGAGUUGUGUUUGUUUGUUUGUUUAUUUAAUCUGCACUAGAGGACAUUGUUUCCAUUGGAGAGGGAGAGAGAGAGAGAGAGAGAGAGAGAGAGAGAGACAGAGACAGAGACAAAGAGAGAGAAACAUUGAUUGGUUGCCUUCUGCACAUGCCCCAACCAGGGAUUGAACAUGCAACCUGGGUAUGUGCCCUGACUGGGAAUCGAACCCACAGCCUUUUGGUGUACAGGAUGAUGCUCCAACCAGCUGAGCCACACUGGCCAAGGCAAGAGCUGUGUUUAAUAGAAAGCCGAAUAUAAACUACUCAUUAACUAUAUUUAUUGAGAUACUAACAUGUAUCAGCAACAGUGCAUAAGGAAAAAGCAAGCAAAAAAUACACAAAUAAACCAAGAAAUAAAAAAGAAAAGAUGCAACCCUUGCUCAAGGAGCUUAUUAUCUUAAGAUUACGAAGAUAUUACAAGCAGCCUAAGAUCCUACCUGUGUUAGGGUAUUGGAGCUUCCCCUUGCUAGAUGACCUAGGGCAAUGUAUAUAAUUUUUUAAAGCUUGGUUUUUCUCAUUUGUAAAAUAUCAUUGGUAGAAUAACUCCUCAUUAAGAAAUUGUGAGGAU